ACGCAGGUUGUGAGCGAUAAAGCUAUGGUUGAAAAAGCUGAUGCCACUGUCUAUACAUCAAAGAUGACGGUUAGAUUGACCUUUGAACCCUGAUGAGGCGUCACUCACCACGCUUAAUGAAUUUCCAGUUCUUGGAAGUCUCUCUCUGCCUCGCCCCAAGGUAAUACUGACCUACUCUGAAGUUCUAGAGAUAGCCAGGUCUCUCUCCUUCACCCCAAGGUAACACUGACCUACUCUGAAGUUCUAGAGAUAGCCAGGUCUCUCUCCUUCGCCCCAAGGUAAUACUGACCUACUCUGAAGUUCUAGAGAUAGCCAGGUCUCUCUCCUUCGCCCCAAGGUAACACUGACCUACUCUGAAGUUCUAGAGAUAGCCAGGUCCCUCUCCUUCACCCCAAG
rnacentral:lncRNA from 1 species